CCCUAUGGGGUGCACCCCCUAUACGGACGGAAGUUAGGAAGCGCGGAAGAGCAGAAGAGCGGCGCAGAAGCUUUUCCAUUCCAGUCCGCUCUUCCUAACCCCCUAUCUUCCGCUCUUCGCAGGUUUGACGCCUCAAGGUAAAUGCAAGGCAAUCUCCGAGAUGACCCUGCGGCGAUAAAAAGCUCGGCACUAGGCGUGGAUCGUUUUCCCCUGCAGCCUCGCCCAGGUCUUCUCCGAGUACCAGAUGCGGACGAACUCCUCGAUGGAGGCCCGUUCCGCCCUCUCCAUUUGCUCGGCAACUUCCCGUCUCAGGAGACCCUUGAUGCUCCUGAACGCUUCGGGGUCCUUUGCGGCGUACUCCCGUGAGAGC
rnacentral:rRNA from 1 species